rnacentral:lncRNA from 1 species
GCUGAUUCAAUUCAGCUUCUUGUCUGCCUGUCUGGUGCUUUUUGGGUUCAGCCUCGAGCCAGUCGGGGCCGAUCGCUAGGUGCUUUCCAUAAUUUUUACGACAGAAAAAGAGUAAAACAAUUGCAAGCCUACCGCCAGAUUGCAGAUCAGAGUCAUUGACUUUGCUGAAGUCGAACAAGGAAUUGGCCUCAUUUGCCUCGUGGUCUCCGUGUGUGUAGAAUCCAGAUUUUCAAAAAGCGUGGCAGUGAUCAAGGGGCAACCACGUGUUGGCGAUUCUUCCCUGCGUCUGAGAGGAAAGCAAUGUAAUCGGGAUUGAUGUAGUACGACAACGUGGAUGCGAUUGGAUUGGAGUUGAAUCGUUUUUCUUCUUGGCGCCAUGCGAAGGUAGGACAAGUCAUAGUUCUUGUUAUUAUCGGUAAAUGUAAAAGCAUGUGAAGAUGCAUCGAGGAUGUUUUCUUCGUAUUCAAUGUGUUGCAAAUUUUCACGAUUUUUUCUCGCUGACCUAGUGUGAAUUUUUGCUAUUUGAUUUUGUGCACCAGCCAUUGCAUUUUGCCUCCACGAACUUUUUUUCGCGGUUUUAUUUCAUACUGAUGUGAUGAGAAACUUUGCCAAUAGAUGGAUUUUGUAUCUUU